rnacentral:tRNA from 1 species
AAAACUUUAAGUUAAAUAAACUAGUAGCCUUCAAAGUUGAAAUUAUAAAUCAUUUAUAAGUUUUA